GGGUUAAGUCCCGCAACGAGCGCAACCCCUCGCUGUCUGUUGCCACCACGAGAGGUGGGGACUCAGGCGGAACUGCCGGUGACAAACCGGAGGAAGGUGGGGACGACGUCAAGUCAUCAUGGCCCUUAUGUCCUGGGCUACACACGUGCUACAAUGGCCGGUACAGAGCGCAGCGAGGCCGCGAGGCGGAGCGAAUCGCUUAAAGCCGGUCCCAGUACGGAUUGGAGUCUGCAACCCGACUCCAUGAAGUUGGAAUCGCUAGUAAUCGCGCAUCAGCAUGGCGCGGUGAAUACGUUCCCGGGCCUU
rnacentral:rRNA from 1 species